rnacentral:rRNA from 1 species
UGGGGAAUUUUGGACAAUGGGCGAAAGCCUGAUCCAGCAAUGCCGCGUGUGUGAAGAAGGCCUUCGGGUUGUAAAGCACUUUUGUCCGGAAAGAAAUCCUUGGCUCUAAUACAGUCGGGGGAUGACGGUACCGGAAGAAUAAGCACCGGCUAACUACGUGCCAGCAGCCGCGGUAAUACGUAGGGUGCAAGCGUUAAUCGGAAUUACUGGGCGUAAAGCGUGCGCAGGCGGUUUGCUAAGACCGAUGUGAAAUCCCCGGGCUCAACCUGGGAACUGCAUUGGUGACUGGCAGGCUAGAGUAUGGCAGAGGGGGGUAGAAUUCCACGUGUAGCAGUGAAAUGCGUAGAGAUGUGGAGGAAUACCGAUGGCGAAGGCAGCCCCCUGGGCCAAUACUGACGCUCAUGCACGAAAGCGUGGGGAGCAAACAGGAUUAGAUACCCUGGUAGUCCACGCCCUAAACGAUGUCAACUAGUUGUUGGGGAUUCAUUCCUUAGUAACGUAGCUAACGCGUGAAGUUGACCGCCUGGGGAGUACGGUCGCAAGAUUAAACUCAAGAAUUGACGGGGUCAUAGCUGUUUCCU